AUGAGUGCAUUCUUCAAAAGGGCUAUGUACCAGGUUGCCUACAAUAAUAUGAUAUACCAUGUCCCUAGCAAAGAUAGUUGGGCAAAGACUGAAACACCUGAUAUUGACCCACCAAUUUUCACUAGACAUCCUAGAAGACCUAAGAAGAGUAGAAGGAAGGGAGUGCAUGAGGUGCCUCAGCCGGGUUCUAGACAUAGGAUGACAACAACGACAUGCUCGAACUGCCACAAACCUGGUCACAAGUAUACCAGUUAUGCCACACCACUGAGAGUAGACUUGGCGAUAAGAAAAAACAAGCACAAGAGUAAUAGAAGAAUGUUUGAAGAAGGACCAAUCCAUGAUCAAGCUGAAGAAACACCACUUCAUGGUCAAGCCAAAGCAUCACCUGUUCAUGUUCAAGCUGAAGCAGCACCAGUUCAUGUUCAUGCUCAAGCUGAAGCAGAUACUUCAACUGGUGCAGCCAAAGGCAGAGGGGAAGGAAGAGCACAAGUAAAUGGAAGCGGAAGAGGUCGUGGAAAAGGCAGAGGCAGAGGACAAGCUGAAGCUGCAAUUCAAGAUCCUUUUCAUGUGCAUGCGGUCUUCGAAGCACAUGGUCCUUUUCAUGGGGUUGACAUACAAGAAGUUGCUUCACAACCAGUUGCAGCUAAUACUAGAGAGAAGCUACCAGUAAUGAGGGGGUCAGGUUCAGCAUGGGGUAGAUUCAUGGAGUGCUUCACUGCCAGUGGCAACCACUGA
rnacentral:rRNA from 1 species